AAAGUUACCCGAUAGCUUCAUCUCUCUUGAUCUGUGCCUUCCUUGCUUGACGGACGUCGGUGUCAUUAGAGUUCUUGGCUACGGCUGGUUCGUAAGGCCUGAAUCUUCUUUUAGGGGCACCACAAACUGCAGGUGGUAGAAAAUUCCUUGAGCAAGCAUUUUGAUGAUUACUGAACUCGGUUUAAUGAUUGAACUCCGUUUGCAGGCCCUAAUUGAAUGUGCUGAUGAAAAGGUUGAACUCGCCGGGACAGAAGUACUUAUCAGGCAGCUUCUCAAAUGGCGUCCUGUCAUUGUAGAUAUAGCUGCAGGUACAUUGUCAUGGAAAGCACCGAAGCAGACGAGUAUGUUAGCCAUCAACGUUAUAGAGAGAACAGAGGCAACAGAUGGAAGGAAGGGAAACCCGCAGUCGCGGCAGAUGUAGGCCUACUUGGACACCACGCGCAUGGAGAACCUCGGCGCCGUGGCGGGGCAUCGGCUCGGUGGCGGCAGCAGGAGGUGCAGGGAGGGAGAGAAGGCGGCUGACCGGAGGGCGUAGCGGUCGGCGGGGCCGCGCAGGCCUGGAUGGCUGGGUGGAUUGGUCCCCCGCGAAGCCGCGAUGGUGGAUCUCAGCCCUGCCACUGCUUGAAGGGCCAUCUCUCGCUCUCUCUCUCUCUCUCUCUCUCUCUCUCGUUACAUGAGACGAGGGGAUAAGAGAGAAGGUAAUAGAAGUGUGGCGAUCGCAGGCCAAUUGUGAAGUGCAUGGGAACGUGGAAGCUUGGCUGCCACACUAAUCUCUCCUGCUGCUUAUCUCCUUUCUGCUCCUUUACUUUUCCUGUUUACGCCAUGAAUUCUUUUAGAUUACGAGUUCACUCUACUUACUUUGUCUUCCUUUGAGAGCAGCACAUGAAAGCAUCAGAGGAAAACCUAAGCUCGAUUAAACUAUAAAACAGUCUUUCUACUCUGUGAUACUUGAGCUUAAAGUUCAUCGUUGAUCCGAACACAACAGGUGGAUGCUUUGUGAUCAUAGAGAGCUUAAUCUUGUUGUUUUAUGAUGCGUAAAUCCAAGAAAGAAGAAAACUUUUUUGUUGCUACCGCCAAUGAUUCGUCCUGUUUAUCUUUUCAGACCAAAACCCCGCAUCAGAUCUGUAAAUACAAGACGUGAUGGUGACUGUUCAAAGCGUGCCGUACAAUAAAGCGGAAGCCGGGGAUCAAGGUUUUGCCGACGGCAACAAGACGCAUGAGAGGAUGAUUCGACGUCGUGGCGGAGAUUGGCUACCCCUCCUCUCCUCCGGUACACUGUACACGUACGUAAAAAUCUACUGUAGCUACUCCAGCGCCACCUCCAUCCAUGGCGUACGUCGGCGUGCAUCGGCUCUGUUCACUGUGGCCGAUCCCCCUCGGUUGUCCGCCUCGUCGACGUACCCGAAGACGACAUGUUCUUUAUAUCUAUCUACGCAAACAGUGUGAAGCUUUUAUGCCUCAUUUCUCACACUGAUCUCUUCUGCGCCCCGAAACAGGAAGCUGUUGUGUAAAGAUUUAAUGGAGGAUGAGACAAAACAGAAGACUGUGGCCAAGUACAUUCGGCAGCCUUUCUCAGCUCUAUUCUCGUUGUAAGUGCCUCCUCCCUCUCUCAAUCUCUCUCUCUCUCUACAAUUCUCCCC
rnacentral:lncRNA from 1 species